UGCGUAGGCGGGGCAAUUAGUCAGUGGUGAAAUCCUGCGGCUUAACCGUAGAACUGCCAUUGAUACUGUUGUCCUUGAGUAUAGUUGAGGUGGGCGGAAUGUGUAAUGUAGCGGUGAAAUGCAUAGAGAUUACACAGAACACCAAUUGCGAAGGCAGCUCACUAAGCUAUAACUGACGCUGAGGCACGAAAGCGUGGGGACUAACAGGAUUAGAUACCCUGGUAGUC
rnacentral:rRNA from 1 species